AAAUUAAUUUCUCAUUUCCAGACCUUUGCUAAACUUUAUUGCAUACUGUAGAGAUAUUUCAAUCAUUUGAUUGAACUGUGUUUUAACAGGGGGUGUAAUCCAGAGUUUUAACCCAGUAAAACUCCUGUGGUUCUCCUAAACUCCUGACCUCCUCAGUCUCACAAACUACAAUGUUGGCGAUAAAACAGACCUAAUGAUGCAACUUCUCCUUCUAUGAACUCUAGAAAUGUUGAAUUCUAGUAAUUUAAAUGACACUAAUCUGCUUUCAUCAUUUCCAUGUUCUUUUACUGUCACACAUCCUGGGAAGUGACAAUAUAUGUCAUGCCACACCCAUCUGUAGUACCUUUAAACAUGUAGAGCAUCUCAAGACUUUGUCUCUGUGUGUCUUGAAGCCUUGAAGCCUUGAAGCUGUCAUCCGCUUGUCUGUGUUGUGAAAUGCAUUUAUAGUGUUUGGAUGUUGAACUUAUUUUCUUGAUACUUUAUUUUAUGUCAAGCUUUCACUGAUGGAUUACAGGCUCAUCCUGUUUGGGCUCUCAGUUUUUCUCCAAACUUCACUGAUCUCUGUGGCUACUGCUCUUUGUACCGGCUGUGAUUGUUGUCCUGAUGGCACAGAGUGCAUCACCACCAAUGGAGUUGUUCAAUGCAUCGACCCCUGUGCCACAUACACUGUGGUGAAUGAUGCCUGGCGUUCAACAGAGAAUACAGACCAAACAAUCUUACACUGUGACCGAAACAUUGUCUGGAGUGGUUGGUAUCGCUUUUAUUUGGGUCAGACCAGCGCUCGGAUGCCAGAGAAAUGUGUAGCAGAAAACCGAUGCGGAGCCGAUGUUCCCUUAUGGAUAACCGAACCUCAUCCAGUUCAGCUUAAUGAAAUCGUAAAUCGCACUGUGUGUAAUGCUUGGUCAGGUUCCUGCUGCCAUUUUGUCUCGCACACCAUCCAGAUCAAAGUUUGUUCUGGUUACUACGUCUACAAACUUCAACAGCCAACUGCAUGUUGGCUGGCAUAUUGUACAGGUAAAGUUUUAUGGCAAUGAUUUAUAAAGAAUUAAGAAUAGUCACACA